GGUCGGUUAGCUCAGUUGGCAGAGCAUUGCAAUUACACUGCAAAGGCCAUAGGUUCAAGCCCUAUACUGACCA